GAUGAACGCUAGCGGCAGGCCUAACACAUGCAAGUCGAGGGGUAGAAGCUUUCGGGCUUUGAGACCGGCGCACGGGUGCGUAACGCGUAUGCAAUCUGCCUUGUACUGAGGGAUAGCCCAGAGAAAUUUGGAUUAACACCUCAUAGUAUUUUAGUGUUGCAUCACAUUAUUAUUAAAGGUUACGGUACAAGAUGAGCAUGCGUCCCAUUAGCUAGUUGGUAUGGUAACGGCAUACCAAGGCUACGAUGGGUAGGGGUCUUGACAGGGAGAUUCCCCACACUGGUACUGAGACACGGACCAGACUCCUACGGGAGGCAGCAGUGAGGAAUAUUGGUCAAUGGUCGCAAGACUGAACCAGCCAUGCCGCGUGCAGGAUGAAGCAUCUAUGGUGUGUAAACUGCUUUUGUACGGGAAGAAACACCGCUACGUGUAGCGGCUUGACGGUACCGUAAGAAUAAGGAUCGGCUAACUCCGUGCCAGCCGCCGCCGUAAUAC
rnacentral:rRNA from 1 species